rnacentral:rRNA from 1 species
UACGUAGGUGGCAAGCGUUGUCCGGAUUUAUUGGGUUUAAAGGGUGCGUAGGCGGUCAAGUAAGUCAGCGGUGAAAUCCGGCAGCUCAACUGUCGAUGUGCCAUUGAUACUGCAUGACUUGAGUACUGAUGAGGUAGGCGGAAUUGACGGUGUAGCGGUGAAAUGCUUAGAUAUCGUCAAGAACACCGAUAGCGAAGGCAGCUUACUAAGCAGUAACUGACGCUGAUGCACGAAAAGUGUGGGGGAUCAAAACAGG